UUUCCGUAGGUGAACCUGCGGAAGGAUCAUUAGUGAAUUAAAACCGCUUGGGUGUCUCUGCUUCGGCAAGCCCCUCGCACUUCACAUCCAUAACACCUGUGCACUGUAAGGCUUGAGGCUUCGGCCCCUCGCCUGACCUUUUAUAAACUAUUAUGCGUAACAAAUGUAGUCUUAUUAUAACCUAAUAAAACUUUCAACAACGGACCUCUUGGCUCUGGCAUCGAUGAAGAACGCAGC
rnacentral:misc_RNA from 1 species